rnacentral:rRNA from 1 species
AUUGAACGCUGGCGGCAUGCUUUACACAUGCAAGUCGAACGGUAACAGGCCGCAAGGUGCUGACGAGUGGCUAACGGGUGAGUAAUGCAUCGGAACGUGCCCAGUCGUGGGGGAUAACUACUCGAAAGAGUAGCUAAUACCGCAUACGAUCUAUUGAUGAAAGCGGGGGGCCGUAAGGCCUCGCGCGAUUGGGAGGGCCGAUGUCAGAUUAGGUAGUUGGUGGGGUAAAGGCUCACCAAGACAACGAUCUGUAGCUGGUCUGAGAGGACGACCAGCCACACUGGGACUGAGACACGGCCCAGAGUCCUACGGGAGGCAGCAGGGGGGAAUUUUGGACAAUGGGCGCAAGCCUGAUCCAGCAAUGCCGCGUGCAGGAAGAAGGCCUUCGGGUUGUAAACUGCUUUUGUACGGAACGAAACGGCUCUGGUUAAUACCCGGGGCUAAUGACGGUACCGUAAGAAUAAGCACCGGCUAACUACGUG